rnacentral:rRNA from 1 species
AGGGAAAGGCGAAAAGAACCCCGGUGAGGGGAGUGAAAAGAACCUGAAACCGUCUGCGUACAAGCAGUAGGAGCUCAUCUUCGGAUGGGUGACUGCGUAACCUUUUGUAUAAUGGGUCAGGCGAGUGACUUUUAGUGGCAAGCUUAACCGACUAGGGUAGGCGAAGGGAAAUCGAGUCUGAAUAGGGCGUUGAGUCGCUAGGAGUCGAC